rnacentral:rRNA from 1 species
AGAGUUUGAUCAUGGCUCAGAUUGAACGCUGGCGGCAUGCCUUACACAUGCAAGUCGAGCGGCAGCGCGGGGGCAACCCUGGCGGCGAGCGGCGAACGGGUGAGUAAUGCAUCGGAACGUGUCCUUUUGUGGGGGGAUAACCAGUCGAAAGACUGGCUAAUACCGCAUGAGCUCGUAAGAGGAAAGCAGGGGACCCGCAAGGGCCUUGCGCGAGAGGAGCGGCCGAUGCCCGAUUAGCUAGUUGGUGGGGUAAAAGCCUACCAAGGCGACGAUCGGUAGCUGGUCUGAGAGGACGACCAGCCACACUGGGACUGAGACACGGCCCAGACUCCUACGGGAGGCAGCAGUGGGGAAUUUUGGACAAUGGGGGAAACCCUGAUCCAGCCAUGCCGCGUGUGUGAAGAAGGCCUUCGGGUUGUAAAGCACUUUCGGACGGAACGAAAUCGCGCGGGUGAAUAUCCCGCGUGGAUGACGGUACCGUAAGAAGAAGCACCGGCUAACUACGUGCCAGCAGCCGCGGUAAUACGUAGGGUGCGAGCGUUAAUCGGAAUUACUGGGCGUAAAGUGUGCGCAGGCGGCGUCGCAAGUCGAGUGUGAAAGCCCCGGGCUUAACUUGGGAAUUGCGCUCGAAACUACGGUGCUGGAGUAUGGCAGAGGAAGGUGGAAUUCCCGUGUAGCGGUGAAAUGCGUAGAGAUGUGGAGGAACACCGAUGGCGAAGGCAGCCUUCUGGGCCAAUACUGACGCUCAUGCACGAAAGCGUGGGGAGCAAACAGGAUUAGAUACCCUAGUAGUCC